UAGUAUUAACUGCAAAUCAACAAACACUUUUUAUUAUUAUAUAUAAUAAAAGAACAUAAUUGUGCCUGUAGUUUGCUUUUUACAUUGUUUUCCAUUUUUGGUUGAUUCAAUUUCUGCAUUAAUAGAGAUAAGAAUCAUUGCACAAAGAAAUAGUACAAAAAUAAAAAUUAAUUUUCAUCCUUGCUCAACAAAGAGUUCAAAUAAGAAAGUGAUAUUUUUUUUUUAGAAAAUAUAAUAAAUUUUAAUAUGUUGAAUUUAAUAAUUCAGUAUUUGUCAUUUGAGUUAAAACUUAAGAAUAAAAAGUGAUGAUAUUUCAAAUACCAAAAGCAUAAAUUACUUUUAAAAAAUUACCAAACAUGUUAGUCACUUGCUUGUUGUGGGAAUCUAAAAAAAAACAUGCUUAAUAGGUGUUGGUGACCCAUUAUUCUCACAAUUAGCCAUCAAGCUUUCUUUCUUCUUAUAUUUAUUUACUACAAUUAUACUAUUUGUUCAGCAAGGAUGAACAUAAAGUCUUUUAUUAUUGUGUUCUUUCUUUGUGCAAUAGUUAUUGUCUCUGUUAAUGUAAAAAUUGAGCCAACCAAAAAUGAAAAACAACGUAAAAGAAUAAAUUACACGCACAAAUUACAUUAUUCUUUUAUUAUAUAUAAUCAUAAAAUGUUUUUGUUGAUGUGCAGUUGGUGCUACAAAAGAAUCCAAAAUAAUUUAUGGAGGCUUGAGAUUUGAAAUACGGCGGUAAACUUGUCAGAGAUUCGAAGUGGAUUGUAAAUAAAGGAAGUAAAAAUAAAGGAGCAUAGACCAAAGUUGCAGGUACAAAUCUGUAGAGCUCAAAAUAGAUAAAGGAAAAAAAAACAAAUGUAAAGAUAUGAUCCUAAAGAAGAAAGUUUUGAUGCUUAUGUCUUGUUACUUUACUAUCCUAGUUGUGUUUUGUUUUUGUUCUCUUGACAGUAAAUUUUGUGAGACACCUUUCUAUUUUUCUGUUUUUUUUAUCUUUCUAUUUUGUAAUCUUCUUUACUCCUUAUUAAUAAUAAUUAUUUAGUGGUGAUUAAUUAUUUAGUGGCGAUUAAGAUUGUAAUUGCCUUAUGGCUCCA